rnacentral:rRNA from 1 species
CCCUUAGAUGUUCUGGGCCGCACGCGCGCUACACUGAUGCAUUCAACGAGCCUAUCCUUGACCGGCAGGUCCGGGUAAUCUUUGAAUCUGCAUCGUGACGGGGAUAGAUUAUUGCAAUUAUUAAUCUUCAACGAGGAAUGCCUAGUAGGCGCAAGUCAUCAGCUUGCGUCGAUUACGUCCCUGCCCUUUGUACACACCGCCCGUCGCUCCUAUCGAUUGGGUGUGCUGGUGAAAUGUUCGGAUCGGCCGUUUGUCGCGGUUUCCGCGUCAUGUGGCUGAGAAGUUCAUUAAACCCUCCCACCUAGAGGAAGGAGAAGUCGUAACA